rnacentral:other from 1 species
UGUCUCCUGCGGUGUUCGAUGUCGGCUUGGUACCCUUGAGCCUAUUUAAACACCCAGGGAGCUUUACCCGUGGCUGGCGUGCAGGCCCACCCCGCAGUGGGAAGCCCAAUGCCCGGCGCGGCGCCCACUUGAGACUAAGUCUCAAGGUCAAAAGCCGAUGACGGCACCGGCGGGAGACAC